AUCCCCAUUCAUGACAAACCAAAUGGUACAACUAAACCGGCCGGUUCGCGGUUUAUUAAAGAAAACCAAACCUCGUCGUUAUUCUGAAGACUUCUCUUUUCUUCUCUGUUAAGAAGAAGAAAGAGAUCAUUUUUUUUGGAAUCUCACUCAUCUCUCAGAAAAAUGGUUGCUCGAAAGUUCGUCAUCCUCCACGACGAUUCGAGCUUUGAAAUCGAUUACAACACAGAAGAUGGCCUUGAGGUUCUACAGUAUCAAAUUUUCUCCGUCACUUUUGUUCCUCCUGAUGAGCAAAAGAUCGUAGCGGAAGAUGAUGAUGAUCGAGUGUUAUCUGAAGAGACUGACCUCGCUUCUAUAUCCGAGAAGCUUCGACUGCUCUCAAUCGGAGGAAGCUCUGAGGAGGAGAAGAAGUCAGAAGAAACCUCUGGUGAGAACGAGCAAUCUAACGAGGAGAUGGUGAGAUCGGACGAAGAGUUUGCACGGAUGUUGCAGGCGGAAGAAGAGGCGAUGAUGCUUCAACAGUUUGUUGCUCAACAAGACAACGGCGAAUUCGAGAGGAGAAUAAGGCCUUAUGUCAGCCAAGUCCUCAUGUAUGAAGAUCCAGUUCGUCAAGAAGCUGCUCGAAAGACUGUUCCUAAAGACGAGCUUGAGGAGAAAGCUUUGGUUUCUUUAGCCAAGGAGGGGAAUUUCGAGCCAUCGAAAGAGGAAAUAAACUAUGCUUUCCUGCUUCAGCUGCUUUUCUGGUUCAAAAGAUCCUUCAGUUGGGUAAAUGAACCUUCGUGUGACUAUUGCGGUAACAAAACCAUAGGCCAGGGGAUGGGAACCCCACUCACCUCUGAGCUAGCGUAUGGAGCAAAUCGAGUUGAACUAUAUCGAUGUACCUCGUGUCCAACGAUAACUCGGUUCCCUCGGUACAAUGAUCCGCUAAAGCUUGUAGAAACAAAGAGAGGCCGUUGCGGGGAGUGGGCCAACUGCUUUACCCUCUACUGCCGCACGUUUGGCUAUGAUUCUCGUUUGAUUUUAGACUUGACUGAUCAUGUCUGGACUGAAUGCUUCUCUCACUCAUUGGGAAGAUGGAUCCAUCUUGACCCUUGUGAAGGAGUGUUUGACAAACCCAUGCUAUAUGAGAAAGGAUGGGGUAAAAAAUUGAACUAUGUUAUCGCCAUUUCCAAGGACGGGGUGUGUGAUGUCACUAGGCGAUAUACAAAGAAAUGGAAUGAGGUUUUGUCUAGACGAACUCUCACGACCGAAUCAUCUCUGCAAGGUGUUCUUCGAACCCUGACACGUGAAAGGAGAGCCACGUCCCGGCUUUUAGCCGCGCUUGAACUCCGAGACAGAAACGAGGAGGAAGAGCUCGAGAGAAACCUCCAUUCCCCAGAUGAUGCAUCUGUUUCUCUACCCGGAAGGCAAAGCGGGGACAAGGAAUGGCGCAUUCAGAGAUCAGAGUUCGGUUCAGACGGAAUCACCUCUUCGUCUUGCUCAGUUCGCACGUGCGUUGAUGAACAUGUGACCAACGUAUACGACUCGUUCUUCCCUAUCCUAACUCAGUUCGUUGAGGAUGGUUUACCUGUAGGAAGAGCUGUUGAGGUUCUUAAUGUGAUCAAGCAGGUCGUAGUGGAGCUGAAGAACGCGUCUUUUAAAACGAGGAAGGCUCGCUUGACUUUAGAUUCAGAACAGUUUCUGCCAGCACUGGAAAGUUUUCUUCUCGCUCUUUCUUUGAAGAGCGAGAAAGACACAGACGGUAAAAGUCUCACAGUAUGCUUGGCGGGUAACCCCACAAAGACGGCUUUAGCAUUGCCGGUUGCAUUGGACGCUUUGAGGGAACUUGUCACUGACCUCAGCAAACGCCAAAACUUGAGCAAAGAUUCACUGUCGUUUCCGUUUCUGAGACAGAACAGGGUGUGUUCUGGUUCUGUCCUCGCAAGUGGUGAAGAGCUUCCUUCUGGCGUUGUAAGUAGAGUCACUACUACUACUACAAACUCUCAUCUUUUACCAUUAUUACUUAAAUUUUUGGAUUUUUCUAAAGAAGUAUAUUGCUCUCGUUGUCUCAGGCAACCGCGGCUUUUGAUGGAAUCCAAGAGUCAAAAUGGGAGGAACCAAAUGGUGCAAAAGGGUGUUGGAUCAUGUACAAAACACUCUACAACCAAGUGCAAGAACUCACAGCAUACGAGAUCAUGUCUGCAAAUGAUGCCCCAGAGAGAGACCCCAAAGAUUGGGUGCUUGAAGGAAGUAAUGACGGUGGAUUGACAUGGCAUGUUAUAGACAAGCAGACUAGCCAGGUGUUCGAGGAGCGGUUCCAACGCAAAUCCUACAAAAUAACAUCACCAGGACUCCAAGCAAAUCUCUUCAGGUUCCGGUUCUUGUGUGUACGAGACGUGAAUUCAACCUCCAGACUACAGCUAGGGAGCAUCGAUCUGUACAAGAGCCACCACUAAAUUUAAAAAAGAUGCACAUCAAAUGUAUAAACUAUAUAUACCAUACUCAAUUCAUCAUUGUGUUCACAUCCUGCAAAAUGGUGAGAGAACCAUUGGCCUUUGUUGUUUAAGCUAUUGUUAUUGCUAAGGAACAACUUCAUGAGACUCUGUCUAUGUACUCUGUUUCAUAAGACCAUAUAAAAGCUCGCUCUUGUC